GGCUUCAUGGCCCAAUGGAUAUGGCGUUGGUUUACAGAACUAGAGAUUUUGGGUUCGAUCCCCGGUGAAGUUG
rnacentral:tRNA from 1 species